GUCUAACCGAAACUUUGAGAUUCUUCAAAAAAAAUUCUGAUGUGACAAAGAAAAUUUAAAAUCUGUCGUAUUGCGUAUUUUGUUAACCAACACUAAAGUUUGGAUGACUGGAUUACCGACCAGGUAACAUAUAUAUGAAGAAGAAUUAUUAAUAUUAUAAAUACAUUCACAUGUCGCCUUGCGGCUAUCGUUUUUACAGUUAAGAUUUUCGCAGUAAUAUAACAACAUCUGCCGAAUGAAAGGCAAACCUAAAUCUAAAUAUGAAAAUAAGCAACCGUCAACGGACGAUGGCCAAAUAUCAGCAAUUUGGACAUAAUGAAGAGCCAAGAGCAAUAAACAAAAAAAAUGAAAGGAAAAUAAAUAUAUAAAAAUAAUCAACUUAAUAACUGAAAAUAUAGAAAAUUCCUUAAGAAAACACUUGCAUAGAGAAAGGGCAGAGCGAGAAGUUUCUACUGAGUGGUGAAAAGCGGUUAACGGAAGGAAGGAAAGCAAAUAAGACAUGGAGGACUACAACUGAGCUGAAGAAAUGGAGAAACAUGCAGCUAUUGUCGCCAUAUGUGCAAAUAAAACCGAUUUAAAAAUCACUAAUUUUCUUAAGUACGCCAGUUCAUUUAUUAUAAGGUCCGUCCUGA